rnacentral:lncRNA from 1 species
AAAAAAUAAAUUUUUAAAAAUUUAAUUAUUUAUAUAAAAGCAAAUUAGUUAAAUAAGAAAACUUGUAGAAGUGAAAUGAUAAUUAUUGAGAUGUAGGGUAAAUUCUUCUAAGAUGUAAUCAACAACUUUAUUUUAUAUAGCCCACUUUACCCACAAAGGAAAGAAAAACAAUUACACAACUCUCUUUUUCUACAUAAUAUGAAGUGCUAACUGUGCCUCGUAUCUUUUUAUCC